rnacentral:rRNA from 1 species
AUGUUUGCCCCCGCGCGGCGCGGUUCGCAGUUUUGGAAAACCCUUGUUAAAGUUCGGCCGAUUUUUCUGGAGCACGUUAAGUUUUGUGUGGGUAAUGGGUCCGCUGUUCGUUUUUGGUUAGAUUGGUGGUCUGGGGAUGCUCCCCUGGCUGUUAGCUUUCCGGUUCUGUUCUCUUAUUGCCCCAAUCCGCAAAUCUCCAUCGCGGAGGUGGCUGCUAAUAAUUGGGACUUGGCUUUUCGUCGGGCCCUGUCUCCUGAAGAGUUGGAAGAAUGGCAAAGUCUUUCUGCCCUCUUCCCUGUGCUCUCGGAGGAGGUCAACUCGGUGGUUUGGCCGCUUACGGCCUCUGGUAUAUUCUCGGUCAAAUCGCUGUACUCUAGACUGAUUGGUGGUACUACUUUGGCUAGAUUCUCUUGUGUUUGGAAAUCUAAGGUCCCUCCUAAGAUUAAGAUUUUCCUCUGGCAAGCCUUCCGUGGUCGCCUCCCUUCUGCUGAUCAGAUCAAAAAACGCAACGGGCCGGGCUCGGAAUUCUGUAACUUGUGUGGGGCUUUGGAAAACUCUAAUCACAUCUUUUUCAACUGUGUUCUCGCCAAAUUAGUUUGGGCUUGCGUUAGAUCCUGGCUUUGGGUCUCCUGGAAUCCCUCCUCUUUCUCAGAUAUUAGAACCCUAGCCAAAUCUCUGGUAGGGGUCACCAGGAGGGUAUUCUAG